rnacentral:rRNA from 1 species
AAGCGGUGGAUGAUGUGGUUUAAUUCGAUGCAACGCGAAAAACCUUACCCACCUUUGACAUGGCAGGAAUCCCGAAGAGAUUUGGGAGUGCUCGAAAGAGAACCUGCACACAGGUGCUGCAUGGCUGUCGUCAGCUCGUGUCGUGAGAUGUUGGGUUAAGUCCCGCAACGAGCGCAACCCUUGCCAUUAGUUGCUACGAAAGGGCACUCUAAUGGGACUGCCGGUGACAAACCGGAGGAAGGUGGGGAUGACGUCAAGUCCUCAUGGCCCUUAUAGGUGGGGCUACACACGUCAUACAAUGGCCGGUACAGAGGGUAGCCAACCCGCGAGGGGGAGCCAAUCCCACAAAGCCGGUCGUAGUCCGGAUCGCAGUCUGCAACUCGACUGCGUGAAGUCGGAAUCGCUAGUAAUCGCGGAUCAGCAUGUCGCGGUGAAUACGUUCCCGGGUCUU